AUUGAACGCUGGCGGCAUGCUUUACACAUGCAAGUCGAACGGUAACAGGCCGCAAGGUGCUGACGAGUGGCGAACGGGUGAGUAAUGCAUCGGAACGUGCCCAGUCGUGGGGGAUAACGCAGCGAAAGCUGCGCUAAUACCGCAUACGAUCUAUGGAUGAAAGCGGGGGACCGUAAGGCCUCGCGCGAUUGGAGCGGCCGAUGUCAGAUUAGGUAGUUGGUGGGGUAAAGGCUCACCAAGCCAACGAUCUGUAGCUGGUCUGAGAGGACGACCAGCCACACUGGGACUGAGACACGGCCCAGACUCCUACGGGAGGCAGCAGUGGGGAAUUUGGGACAAUGGGCGCAAGCCUGAUUCAGCAAUGCCGCGUGCAGGAAGAAGGCCUUCGGGUUGUAAACUGCUUUUGUACGGAACGAAAAGGCUCUGGAUAAUACCUGGGGCUCAUGACGGUACCGUAAGAAUAAGCACCGGCUAACUACGUGCCAGCAGCCGCCGUAAAAC
rnacentral:rRNA from 1 species